rnacentral:rRNA from 1 species
GAUGAACGCUGGCGGCGUGCCUAAUACAUGCAAGUCGAACGCAUUGAGAAAAGUGCUUGCACUUUUCAAUUUGAGUGGCGAACGGGUGAGUAUCACGUGGGCAACCUACCUGAUAGCGGGGGAUAACGAGUGGAAACAUUCGCUAAUACCGCAUAACAAUAGAGAAGGCAUCUUCUUUAUUUAAAAGGCGCUUUCAAGCGUCACUAUCAGAUGGGCCCGCGGUGCAUUAGUUAGUUGGUGGGGUGAAGGCCUACCAAGACGAUGAUGCAUAGCCGUGUUGAGCGACUGAUCGGCCACAUUGGGCCUGAGACACGGCCCAAACUCCUACGGGAGGCUGCAGUAGGGAAUCUUCCACAAUGGACGAAAGUCUGAUGGAGCAACGCCGCGUGUGUGAUGAAGGCUUUCGGGUCGUAAAGCACUGUUGUAUGGGAAGAAAUGCUAGGCUAGGAAAUGAGCUUAGUUUGACGGUACCAUACCAGAAAGGGACGGCUAAAUACGUGCCAGCCGCCGCCGUAA